GACGAACGCUGGCGGCGUGCUUAACACAUGCAAGUCGAACGGAAAGGCCCUGCUUUUGUGGGGUGCUCGAGUGGCGAACGGGUAAGUAACACGUGAGUAACCUGCCCUUGACUUUGGGAUAACUUCAGGAAACUUGGGCUAAUACCGGAUAGGAGCUCCUGCUGCAUGGUGGGGGCUGGAAAGUUUCGGCGGUUGGGGAUGGAAUGGCGGCUUAUCAGCUUGUUGGUGGGGUAGUGGCAUACCAAGGCCUUGACAGGUAGCCGGGCUGAGAGGGUGACCGGACACAUUGGGACUGAAAUGCGACACAGACUACUACGGGAGGGGGCAGUGGGGAAGAGUGCACUAUGGGCGGAGCCCUGAUGCAGCAACGCCACGUGGGGGAUGACGGCCUUGGGUUAGUAUUCCACAUUCGCUUGUGACGAAACGUGAGUGACGGUAAUGGGUGAAGAAGCACCGGCUAACUACGUG
rnacentral:rRNA from 1 species